UCCCAGUCUGAAGAGAUGAAUGUCACCCAGAUGACCAUGCUGCUUCCUGGUAUGGUGACGGAGACACUUGGGUUGCCUGAGCUGAGUGAAAUGGGAAGGGCGAGGAAAAGCAAGAUUGACCGGGAAGAGACGAGCAGACAUUCGAUGAAUACUAUUCCAGCUGUUUGUAAUGAGGAGUAUGAAGAUGAUAAUGAUGAUCCUGGAACCAGGAAUAAAGUGCUUUGGUGACAAACACAGUUAAGGAUGGGAAAAGCCUCAAGAAGAAGACAAAGAAGAAUGAUGAAAGGAGAAGCAAGAACAA